GUUUUAUAGGGAAGAGAAGUUCAGUUUCCAUCUCUCGGCCAGCUACCUUUGCGAAUCUCAAGCCUCACUCCCCAGCACGCUGUGUCUGUGCUUUCUGGGUUGAUUGGAUGACUGGGAGUCCGCCAGGCAGAGGACAACAACGUUCAGACCGGCAGAGGGAGCAGCGUGCUCAACAAUGAAGAGGAAGGAAGCUGCAUUCUGGGCUGUAGUUCAGCGGGUGGAAGUGUAGGGCAUGAAGAUCUCCGGGAGGGCAGGUGGUCAGUCAGGAACUACUGGUGGUGUUUCCUGAGUGUAGCAGACAAAGUGAGCGCAAGCAAGAGCGACACAGCGUCUGAUGACUUCUGCAAGCCACCGCAGCCCCAGGGGAUGGGGAUGAGCACUGUAUGCCCCUUCCUGAACGCAGCCCGGCCCAUUUGCCCACAUAAAAGCUUGGAGUCGGAAGAGGACGGUUUUAGAAGCCCGUCAGUAUCCAUGCUGAGCUCUUGUUUGCACCCUGGAAGCCUCUGCUACCCCGGGGCUUUGACCAAGGUCUCUGAGCCGCGAGGGACCAAGAAUGGGGAAAACAGCAGCAAGCUUUUGGAGACACUGGAAGAACGUUUGGAAAAGUGUGACAGUGCGGAUUUAUGUGUAAAAUAGAUUUAUAUUUGGAUUUGUAUCGAACAUAGACUUUCCAAAAACAAGAGUCAGGGGUGCAAUGCAGAGCAAAAUACGAACACUAAAGGUCUUACACUAAAAAGGCCUAAAGGAACAGUAAUGUUUUCCAUCAUUUUCCAUUUUAGUCCUACUGUGGACAUUUACAAGUAAGGAAACCAGGCUGGGGAUAUAGCUCGGCGGCACAGCGCCUGCCUGGCUAGCGCAAGGUCCUGAGUUGGAUACCCGGUACCAAAAUAACAAAAACCAAAGAAACCAGGGCUCUGCGAAGUUAAAAGGUGCACCCAAGCCAGGCGCGGUGGCACACACCUGGAAUCCCAGCACUCUGGAGGCCGAGGCAGGAGGAUCACCACAAGUUGGAGGCUGGCCUGGUAUAGAGUGGGUUCAAGGUCAGCCUGAACUAUAUAAUGAGACCCUGGCUCAAAAAAAAAACGAAAGUGUCCUAGUUUACAGCUUCAGUUACUAGCAGAGCUAGAAGUAGAAUUCAGUUCUUUUGACUCUCAAUUUGACCAAACUUCCACAA
rnacentral:lncRNA from 1 species